rnacentral:rRNA from 1 species
UACGUAGGGGGCAAGCGUUGUCCGGAUUUACUGGGCGUAAAGAGCGUGUAGGCGGCCAAGCAGGUCUGUUGUGAAAACUGGAGGCUUAACCUUCAGACGUCGACAGAAACCGCUUGGCUAGAGUCCGGAAGAGGAGAGUGGAAUUCCUGGUGUAGCGGUGAAAUGCGCAGAUAUCAGGAAGAACACCAAUGGCGAAGGCAGCUCUCUGGGACGGUACUGACGCUGAGACGCGAAAGCGUGGGGAGCGAACAGG